UAUAUCAGAGAAAAAUUUAAGGAUUGUAUUUAUUCUUUAAAUGUUAUGGGUCACAAUACCUCACGUCGAGGAAUAAUAAAGCACCCUUUUGAUGGUAUUAUUUCUUAGCAUUAAUUAGUCAAUUGCAUUAAUCUAUAAUGUAUCAAUUAUUUUUGCUUUCCUUUUCCAUCUCAUCAACUGACUUAGAUUUGACAUCAUAUAACUGCCCCAAAAUGUGAAUUCAAAAUGUGAUUCCCAUUUUUUUUUUCUUUCAGGGAAAUCUUGAGGAGUUUGAUACUUUCCAACCUCCAGCCAUUAAUCAUUUUGUGGGGGAAGGCUAUAUAUUGGUAGGAAUAAAAAGCAAGCAGUUCCUGGCCCGUGCGAGUCCAGUUAGGGGUGUCUGCCUAGCAGCAUGUUGGCACCAGCAUUGA
rnacentral:lncRNA from 1 species